UGACCUUUCGUUUCUUUCUUUCUUCCAAUCUUUCCUUUCUUUUUUUUUCUCUUGCGGCUUGUCUCCAAUUUUCAAACUGCUCUUUACAUGGCGCUCAGAUUGCACGCACCACCACAGCUUUGUCUCGUUUAGGUGAUCAAAUUCAAUUCUCUAUUUUUCUUUCCAUUUCCGAUCGAAUCUUCGCCUUCUAUAUUGUACCUAUUAAUUUCUCUUUCAUCUUGUUCGUUCAAGAAGCUCUGGUUCCGACCGAGUGUGGAUAGAUAUUAUCUUGACUUUAAUUAGAAUGUAAACUUUGUUGCUUUGUUUCUGAUGAAUAAUUGGAACUGAAGAAGCAUUUCAAGCAUUUUAUUCGUUAGGUUGCGUUCACCUAAACUGGUUGACUAUAUGGAUAUGAACUUAUCAAGAUUAAGGGGCCAACUAAAGUUGCCUACACUACCAGCCUCAUCCUGAGAUUUUUUGUGCUGUGGGCGAACUGAAAAAUUAUACCUGC
rnacentral:lncRNA from 1 species